AAGAAAGUGACAGAAGGGUGAUGUGGCUGGCUUGAAACCGGUUUAUGGGGGUUCAAAUCCUCCCUUUCUCG
rnacentral:tRNA from 3 species